rnacentral:rRNA from 1 species
GACGAACGCUGGCGGCGUGCUUAACACAUGCAAGUCGAGCGGUAAGGCCCUUUCGGGGGUACACGAGCGGCGAACGGGUGAGUAACACGUGGGUGACCUGCCCUCAGCUCUGGGAUAAGCCUGGGAAACUGGGUCUAAUACUGGAUAUGACUCCACGGUGCAUGUCGUGGGGUGGAAAGCCUUGUGCGGCUGAGGAUGGGCCCGCGGCCUAUCAGCUUGUUGGUGGGGUGAGGCCUACCAAGGCGACGACGGGUAGCCGGCCUGAGAGGGCGACCGGCCACACUGGGACUGAGAUACGGCCCAGACUCCUACGGGAGGCAGCAGUGGGGAAUAUUGCGCAAUGGGCGGAAGCCUGACGCAGCGACGCCGCGUGGGGAUGACGGCCUC